GGUGAGAUGGCCGAGUUGGUUAUGGCGCCAGGUUAAGGUCAACCUUAACAAGAGUUAAUUAUCCUGGUGGGGCAACCCUCAUGGGUUCAAAUCCCAUUCUCAUCA